rnacentral:rRNA from 1 species
UGCAGUCGACGGUAACAGGAAUUAGCUUGCUAAUUUGCUGACGAGUGGCGCACGGGUGCGUAACGCGUAUACAAUCUGCCUUUUACUGGGGGAUAGCCUUUAGAAAUGAAGAUUAAUACCCCAUAGGAUCCAGACACUGCAUGGUGCUUUGGAUUAAAGUUUCGGUGGUAAAAGAUGAGUAUGCGUUCUAUUAGCUAGUAGGUGUGGUAACGGCACACCUAGGCUACGAUAGAUAGGGGCCCUGAGAGGGGGAUCCCCCACACUGGUACUGAGACACGGACCAGACUCCUACGGGAGGCAGCAGUGAGGAAUAUUGGACAAUGGGCGGAAGCCUGAUCCAGCCAUGCCGCGUGCAGGAAGACUGCCCUAUGGGUUGUAAACUGCUUUUAUACAGGAAGAAACGGGGGUACGUGUACCCCUUUGACGGUACUGUAAGAAUAAGCAUCGGCUAACUCCGUGCCAGCAGCCGCGGUAAUACG